rnacentral:rRNA from 1 species
UACGUAGGGUGCAAGCGUUAAUCGGAAUUACUGGGCGUAAAGGGUGCGUAGGCGGUUCGUUAAGUCUGUCGUGAAAUCCCCGAGCUCAACUUGGGAAUUGCAAUGGAUACUGGCAGGCUGGAGUAUGGUAGAGGAAGGUGGAAUUCCCGGUGUAGCAGUGAAAUGCGUAGAGAUCGGGAGGAACACCAGUGGCGAAGGCGGCCUUCUGGACCAAUACUGACGCUCAUGCACGAAAGCGUGGGGAGCAAACAGG